CCGCUCCUCCUGCUGCUGCUGCUCGGGGGGCUCGCCCCGCUGGCCGCAGCCCAGGUGACCUCGGAGGACCAGGAAGUGCCGGAGCACAAACCUGUCACCCUGCGCUGCGCCGCGUUCCGCUCCGGCUCCGGCAGCGCCCGGAUCGAGUGGAAGUUCCAGAGG